CUGGGAGAUUGGCUCCCAUUCUAAAGUGGAAACUGGUUCCUUGGCAGCAAGCACAUUAUCAUCAGUAAUACCUCUGCAGUAUGUACUUAUUAAGGAGACUGAGUUU